rnacentral:lncRNA from 10 species
AUGCCUGCUGGAUUCGAAGAGAUGGCAUUCAAGUGCUUAAAAAUAUGGAGUUCCACUCUUGCUGCUCAGUUGGGAGUGCAAAGGCACAAUCUUGGCUCACUGCAACCUCCGCCUCCUGGGUUCAAGCAAUUCUCCUGCCUCAGCCUCCAGAGUAGCAGGGAUUACAGGCAUGUGCCACCACGCUUGGCUAAUCUUUGUAUUGUUAGUAGAGACGGGGUUUUACCAUGUUGGUCAGGCUGGUCCCGAACUUCUGAACUUAGGUGAUCACCCACCUCGGCCUCCCAAAGUGCUGGGAUUAUGGGC